rnacentral:rRNA from 1 species
UACGUAGGGACCAAGCGUUGUUCGGAUUUACUGGGCGUAAAGGGCGCGUAGGCGGUAAUUCAAGUCAUCUGUGAAAUCUCCGGGCUUAACCCGGAACGGUCAGGUGAUACUGUUUUGCUAGAGUGCGGAAGGGGCAAUCGGAAUUCUCGGUGUAGCGGUGAAAUGCGUAGAUAUCGAGAGGAACACCAGAGGUGAAGACGGGUUGCUGGGCCGACACUGACGCUGACAGCGCGAAAGCCAGGGGAGCAAACGGG